rnacentral:lncRNA from 1 species
UAUUUUUAGAAUAUUGUCAGAUAUAUUGUUGAAUGACAUACACUUCUUAUUGAGGAGCAACCUCAGGAGCUGUUUCCUAAUUUUGUUAUGCUUCCACUUAACUAUGUUUAAUGUAACUCACUCAUGUUGAGUUUUGGCAACAGUAAUGUGCAGCCGUUUGGCAUGGUAUGAAACAAUUCAUUAGUUUUCUAUUGAAUUCUCUUGUGGAUGUUAAAAACCAUUCAUGAGUUUCCUCCUAACAAUGAAGUUUUUUUUAUUCAUGCCAUGGUAUUGGAGCUUUUAUGGCCAAGUGGUCUAGAUUUUGAUCCUUAAUAACCCCAUUCUUGUAUGUAAAAGUUGAAUUUAACACAAUGUAGAUGAAUUUAUACAAUGUCUGCUCGUCAAGCCCAAAGGGGUUCUUUUUGAGAGGGCGUAACAGAUUUAAAACCAUAUUGAUGAGGACUUGCGUAACACUUAACAACAUAAGCCUUUGAGAGUUAAUUCAUGUCAAGUUACCAUUUAGUGUUAAAUUUUAUGAUCUUUUUAUAGAGGCAUCCGUUAGAGAUAUGUUGAGUGGCUUGGAAGCUUUAUUUAGUUAUUUGUUCAGUUGUUUGCUUUUUCCUUCUUAAAGAGGAGGAUUUCUUAUUCUCCUAGCUAAGAAUUUUUGUUUAUGUAGAAAUAAAAUAGAAUGUAUGGAAUGUAACUUAGCGGGAGAUAUGCUAAUUCUAGCUUGGUCCCUUCAUGCCAAAGUUUAGGGAAUAGUUGAUGUAAAUCAUAGGAUUCAAGCAAAAAUGCUUCAAGAGAUGAUUUGUGGUGAAAAGGUUCCCCACUCAAACUUAAAAGAAAAUUUAUUAACACGCUAGCAUCUUGCCACAUUCAUAGACUUACAUCACAGUAGAUUAGGAAAUGAUGCUAUGUUGUUAAGCGCCGACCCCAAAAAAUGCUAUAGCGGUAUAGCGG